rnacentral:rRNA from 1 species
AUAGGCAAUUAUUCCUGNUAAUGGUUUUUUGUUUAAAUGUUUUUUCGCCUAAGGAUGGGUCUGCGGCCGAUUAGGUAGUUGGUUAGGUAAUGGCUUACCAAGCCUUUGAUCGGUACGGGUUGUGAGAGCAAGAGCCCGGAGAUGGAACCUGAGACAAGGUUCCAGGCCCUACGGGGUGCAGCAGGCGCGAAACCUCCGCAAUGUGAGAAAUCGCGACGGGGGGAUCCCAAGUGCCAUUCUUAACGGGAUGGCUUUUCAUUAGUGUAAAGAGCUUUUGGAAUAAGAGCUGGGCAAGACCGGUGCCAGCCGCCGCGGUAACACCGGCAGCUCUAGUGGUAGCAGUUUUUAUUGGGCCUAAAGCGUCCGUAGCCGGUUUAAUAAGUCUCUGGUGAAAUCCUGCAGCUUAACUGUGGGAAUUGCUGGAGAUACUAUUAGACUUGAGAUCGGGAGAGGUUAGAGGUACUCCCAGGGUAGAGGUGAAAUUCUGUAAUCCUGGGAGGACCGCCUGUUGCGAAGGCGUCUGACUGGAACGAUUCUGACGGUGAGGGACGAAAGCUAGGGGCGCGAACCGGAUUAGAUACCCGGGUAGUCCUAGCUGUAAACGAUGCGGACUUGGUGUUGGGGUGGCUUUGAGCUGUCCCAGUGCCNAAGGGAANCUGUUAAGUCCGCCCCCUGGGAAGUACCGGUCGCAAGACUGAAACUUAAAAGGAAUUGGCGGGGGGAGCNCCNCAACGCGUGGAGCCUGCGGNCUUAAUUGGA